GCCACGUCCCCGCCCCGGCCCGGCGCUGGCGCGGUUGGCUGGCCGGCGGGCGGCGCGGGACUGGGUGUGGCCGCGGCUCGGGAACGGCAGUUCGCUGGUUCUGCGUGCCGGCCCGCGCCCCGGGGCUGCUGAGCGCCCAGCGGACACGGGCUGUGCACGGUGGACGCGGCCGAGCUCCCUCCAGCUGCUUUCACUUGUUAAUUCCUGAGGGAAAUAGAUUCAAAAGAUGAGUGAACUGGAACAGUUGAGGCAGGAAGCAGAGCAACUGCGGAAUCAGAUCCAGGAUGCUAGGAAAGCAUGUAAUGAUGCAACACUUGGUCAGAUCACAUCAAAUAUGGACUCUGUGGGCCGAAUACAGAUGCGGACAAGACGUACCCUGAGGGGCCACCUUGCCAAAAUCUACGCCAUGCACUGGGGGUAUGAUUCCAGGCUACUAGUCAGUGCUUCCCAAGAUGGAAAAUUAAUUAUUUGGGAUAGCUAUACAACAAAUAAGAUGCACGCGAUUCCUCUGAGGUCCUCCUGGGUGAUGACUUGCGCCUACGCUCCUUCUGGUAAUUAUGUUGCAUGUGGAGGCUUGGACAACAUCUGCUCCAUAUAUAACUUAAAGACCAGAGAGGGAAAUGUGCGCGUGAGCCGAGAGCUGCCGGGGCACACAGGCUACUUGUCCUGCUGUCGUUUCUUAGAUGACAGCCAAAUUGUUACAAGUUCAGGAGAUACGACUUGUGCUUUAUGGGACAUCGAAACUGCCCAGCAGACUACCACGUUCAAUGGGCAUUCUGGAGAUGUGAUGAGCCUUUCUCUAAGUCCUGACAUGAGGACUUUUAUGUCUGGUGCUUGUGACGCCUCUUCCAAAUUGUGGGAUAUUCGAGAUGGAAUGUGUAGACAGUCUUUCACAGGACAUGUCUCAGAUAUUAAUGCUGUCAGUUUUUUCCCAAAUGGAUAUGCCUUUGCCACUGGCUCUGAUGAUGCCACUUGCCGGCUCUUUGACCUACGUGCAGACCAAGAGUUACUGUUGUAUUCUCAUGACAAUAUCAUCUGUGGAAUCACUUCUGUAGCCUUCUCCAAAAGUGGGCGCCUCCUGUUAGCUGGUUACGAUGACUUUAAUUGUAACGUCUGGGACACGCUAAAAGGAGAUCGUGCAGGUGUCCUUGCUGGUCAUGACAACCGUGUCAGCUGCUUAGGGGUGACUGAUGAUGGCAUGGCUGUGGCAACAGGCUCUUGGGACAGUUUUCUUAGAAUCUGGAAUUAACAGUGUCAUCUGUAUUUUCUGCUCUCCAUUGCCAGUCUGGAGAAAUCAAUAUUACAGCCUAUAGCUGUGAAAAAAAAUUCUACCUUAUAUUUGCAGAUCAAUCCAAAUGAUUGACAAUAGAAGAUUGUUAGUCUGCUGUUGGCGGAGCCAUGGAUUGUUCUGAUACGUGGUAGUACAUUGUGUUUUGUAAUUUAGUAAGUUAUAGGUCUGUGUUAACCUUUGAUCACCUAUAACCUAUUCUAAACAAUCCCAAAUUUUACUUGUAAUUUUUUUUCUUUUUUAGCAUUUGAAAAUAAAAUAGUUUUUCAUUUUUAUAUUGUGAAUGUGCUAAUACAUAAUGAAGUCAUUGUCAGUUUAAUUAAGGCCAGUUGAUAAUUAGAAUAAAGAGGUUAAAGGCAAAUUAAGAUAUAGGCCCAAAACAGAAUAUUAUAGAUGGCAGUUACGAAUGUAUAUUUGUAUUUUGAUUAAGAUUUCUGUGAACUUUUUGCUUUUAGUGUUUAUUUGUGCGCUAUUUGUAUAACUUCAUAAAGAGCAGCUCUUUGAAGUAAGUCAAGAAUAUUUUAAAGGAACAUAUUCAUUUCUCAAAAAAGUAGGGGGGUCAAUUGAAGUUUGCCAUGUAGUUGAGCACCUUGAUUCUUAAAUCCUGUUCCAGAAAGAACUCCUAAUAUGUAUAAAAAUAAUCAUAUAUGAGUUAUCUCCUCUACUUAAUAAAAGUUAUUGUAGUAGCAAGAUACUUUAGGCAGAGGCAUACAGACCCUAAGAAUUCCAUGAUAUUAACAUUUUAAAAUGACAUUUAUUUUAAUGUCAUUAAAGCUUAUUAGGCUAGUUGAAAGCAAUUUCCUUAAAUAUGUACUAGGUAACUGAAAACCCCUAUUGAAUACUUGUGGCUAAUUAUACAUCUGACCAGCUACCACAUUAACAAUCUUACUAGUUAAACCUUUGCUUUCUGGUGAUAGUAGAUCCAAUUGGUAAAUACAUUUGUUUAUUUGAAAAUGAAUGUACUCAUUGAAAAUGUAUUCACUCAGUGGAAUUGAGCUAAUUAUCUAUUUAAUUCUAUUUUUGUGCAUAAGACUUCCUGAAAUAGAGUAUAUAAUUUGUAGAGAAGUUGUAUGCAGAAGGUGCCAAAAAGGUAUGCAUAUUUUAACAAAGGAAAAAACUAUUAAAAUGGUAAUACUCAGGAUAUACUGAUGAUAAAAGAUGAAUACACAUAGAAGUCGCAUUUGAGCACCACUUGGAAUUGUAGAAGUCAAAUGUGACUUGAGCAUUACAAUUUUAAUACAGUUUUUUCCUUUCUUAAACUGUGUAUACUUUUUUUUGGCAACCUCUGUGGUUUUCAGAUCUUAGUUUUUCAAGACUAAAAAUAUGGCUACAUUUAGUGUCAAAGGAUUUGUAUCAUCAAAAAUACUGUAUUUAUCUGGUCCCAAUUAAUUUUUCUUCUUUAUAAGGAGUAUUUAAACAUAACGUGCCUCUGCAGGUUGAUCUAUAGACUCCAUCACAUCAGAAAGAAUAUUUCAGAGGUAUACAUUCUUUCCUAAAAUAUGAUCACCAUGACAUUCUUUCCUAAAAUGUGAUCACCAUGAGGUUUAACAAAUCAACCCAAAAACCCACUCAAGAAGGCAAUUUUUAUCCAGGUGUGGUGGCUCACACCUGUAAUCUUAGCAAUUUGGGAGGCUUAGGCAGUUAGACAGCUUGAGGUCAGAAGCUCAAGACAAGCCUUAGCAAGAGUGAGACUCCUCUACAAAAAAUAGAAAAAUCAGCUGGGCAUGGUAACAUGCACCUGUUGUUUCAGCUACUUGGGAGCCUGAGGCAGGAGGAUCACUUGAACCCAGGAGUGAGUUGCAGUGAGUGAGCUAUGAUGACGCCACUGUACUCUAGCCAGAAUGACAAAGCGAGAUCCUGUCUCACAUUAGCAAGAAUUGCUUUCUUUCUUUUUUUUUUUUAAAUCAAUAAGGAAGUCUCCUCCACUUUGAUGGACACAUCUCAUUUUUGGUAGCCAUAAUGUUAAGAGAUUUAGACUCAAUAUCCAAGGUUCCUCCCUACUCAAAUUUUUAAUUGUGAUUGCAUAUACCAUAUUGAAUUCCAUCUUCACAGAGCCAAAGCUUUGGACUUUAUAUCUCAACAGUAAGAGAGCAAUUCUCUUCAGGUUAGACUCAGAUGAACUGACUAAUAUUACAUAAUGAUGUAUGUUGUCUCCUUGAAAUAAUGGAUGUAGAUGAUUCCAAAAUGUUACAGAAUUGUGAAGUUAACCUAUUAAAAGAGAAAUGGAUCCUGAUUUCUCCAGCUGAGACAAUGAAACUUUUGCUUAAAAACGCUGUCAAUAUUGCAGUUGAGUUUCUCCAACACUUUUGAUAUUUUAGACUUAAUAACAAAUUAAGACUGUGUUUUGAAAGUGAAAAUAUUCAGGGAGAUUUAUGCUUUGAUGAGAAUGUCUCAGAUAUCAAAUUAUAAUACAGUUGAAUACUCUGGUUUAUUGUUGAUGUUUUAAAGUUUGAGAAACUGAUGACAGAAUCUUUCCAAAGAGCUUGUAACUUUUUUUUUUUUUUUUGCAGUAUUUGGCCAGGGCUGGGUUUUUGAACCCACCACCUCCGGUAUAUGGGGCCGGCACCCUACUCCUUUGAGCCACAGGCACUGCCCUGAGCUUGUAACAUUUUAAUAGUAAAGAUGUUAUAAAAUUUUCAGGGUCUGACUCAGGCUUUAAAAAAUUUUUGCCAUUUGCCAUCAUAAGCAAAAAUUUAAAUUACUUCUUGUUAACCUGUUAGACCAGCAGUUCUCAACCUAUGGGUUGCAACCCCUUUGUAACAAAAUACAUCCUGCAUAUCAGAUAUUUACAUUACAAUUCAUAACAGUAGCAAAAUUACAGUUAUGAAGUAGCAACAAAAAUAAUUUUAUGGUUGGGGGUCACCACAACAUGAACUGUAUUAAAGGGUUGUGGCAUUAGGAAGGUUGAGAACCACUGCGCUAGACUAUCUUAUGGAUAGUACAAGGAAUAAAACUUUUAUUUUUUUUAGAGUAUAGUCUUACUGUGUCACCCAGGCUGGACUGUAGUGGUGCACUCCUAGCUCACUGCAGCCCCCACCUUCUGAGAUCUAGUGAUCCUCCUGCUCCAGUCUGCCAAGUAGCUAGGCCUACAGGCCUAUGCCACCAUGCCCAGCUAAUUUUUAAAUUUUUUUGUAGAGACAGGGUCUAUCAGUAUGUUCUUAGGCUAGCCUCCUGAGCUUCAGCAGUCCUCCCACCUUGGCCUCCCAAAAUGCUUGGGAUUACAGGUGGUGAGGCAGCGUGCUCAGCCAAAAUUGCUAUUUUGAAUUGGAUUAAGUAGAACGUGAAGUCCACUAGUUUUCCUUACACUGUUCAUUUUGAAUUGCUUCAGAGUCAUUGUAUAUUUAAAACAUUGGUUACAGUAAUAGGUACUCAUUAAAAUGGUUUACAGUAGAAUGUCUAAGCUAGCAUUUUGUUUAAAAAGUAAUUUAUUGGGUGGCACCUGUGGUCAAGUGGGUAGGGCGCCGGCCCCAUAUGCUCGAGGUGGCAGGUUCAGACCCAGCCCCGGCCAAAAAAAAUAAAAUAAAAAGUAAUUUAUUAAUCACAAAUUAGUGGUACACCUUAUAUUUAGGAAAUGUUUGCAUGUUAGUAAAUUUUCCUUUUUCCCUAAAUCUAAUUACUGACUUUGUAAAAACUAGUUAUAAUGCAGCAUUAUGGAAGAACUUAUGUUUAAACUGGUGUUACAUGCACCCAACAAAAUCUCCUAUCACACGGUAUCUCAAUUAGUAGGGCUCAGUGACAUGCUUGGUAGACACUUCAGCCUAUUCUGUCUUUCACACAAUGGUGCUCUAUCCUAUUGUUUUCUCUUUUCAAAGAAGUAUCUGGACACUUGCAUUUGCAUUUUCUUAUCCAAAGACAUCCACAUCUAAGUGUGUUUUAAGUUGAUUAAAAUAUUUUUCUGGUAAAGCAUUCUAAAAAUCUUUUCCUUCACCUAGAAUGGUUUCUACAUACUUGUGGGCCAACUGACUAUGACUGUUAGUAGUAUGUCUAAUUACAGGAAAGGUAAACAUACUAAAGCUCUUGCAAGUUUUAAACCAUUAACACCAACUAUGGACUUAUACCUGAUUUUACAGCAUUCUUGGAUCUUUCUUACAGAGUGAUUCAUUCCUUUAUUUGUAUCGUGGCUUUGUGAAAUACUGUUGCUGUGAAUUGGUAUUAUAAUCAAUAAAGUGCUUUUAACCAGAUUUUACUGUGUUAAUCUGCUUUUUACCAGAUUAACAUUGUACUGUGUUUUUAAGUACAUUUUUAGUAGGAUUAUUUUUAAAAUCAUGCC